rnacentral:rRNA from 1 species
UACGUAGGUGACAAGCGUUGUCCGGAUUUACUGGGCGUAAAGAGCGCGCAGGCGGUCGAUCAAGUCGAGUGUGAAAGCCCCCGGCUCAACUGGGGAGGGUCAUUCGAUACUGAUCGACUUGAAGGCAGGAGAGGGAAGUGGAAUUCCCGGUGUAGUGGUGAAAUGCGUAGAUAUCGGGAGGAACAUCAGUGGCGAAGGCGACUUCCUGGCCUGUUCUUGACGCUGAGGCGCGAAAGCUAGGGGAGCAAACGGG